rnacentral:lncRNA from 1 species
AAGAAAGGUUAAACAUUCUGUUAUUUGUGAAAAUUAAAAAGAAAAUCAACAUCCUGAUACAAUACACAAUCUUAAUAUAGCAUACUUUGUAUGAUGUAAACGUGUGGGUUGUGUGCGUAGUUAGUCGGACCAUGGAAGUGGAAGUAUUAUAUACUUCCAUGGUCGGACAAACCUUGCAAACUGUAUGCAAAAUUUCACUCAAAUACACCAAGUUCAACAUUCUGUCGUUCGUGAAAAAUUAUUAAAGAAAAAAUGAUCCUGAGAAUAUAUAUGCACCCUCAAAAUAGGUAAAAAAAAUAUAUCGGCGCAAUAUAUUUAAAAAUGCCAAAUUUUGCAACCUGUCAUAAAAAAAAAGAAAAAAUUGACAAGAUGCGAAUCGUUAGUGUAUGUACUAACACCAGGUACAUCAUUUAAAAGUUUAAGCUUAAAAACUGUACAUAAUCCUACGAAAUCAGCCGUAUAAUCCUAUACUAGCUAGUAUACCAAGUGCGGGACUGUCGAAAGGACACUGGUAAAACAAUAUGAUCCCAG